UACGGAGGGUGCAAGCGUUGCUCGGAAUUAUUGGGCGUAAAGAGCUCGUAGGCGGUUUGUCGCGUCUGCUGUGAAAACUCGAGGCUCAACCUCGGGCUUGCAGUGGAUACGGGCAGACUAGAGUGCGGUAGGGGAGACUGGAAUUCCUGGUGUAGCGGUGGAAUGCGCAGAUAUCAGGAGGAACACCGAUGGCGAAGGCAGGUCUCUGGGCCGCAACUGACGCUGAGGAGCGAAAGCAUGGGGAGCGAACAGG
rnacentral:rRNA from 1 species